rnacentral:rRNA from 1 species
UACAGAGGGUGCAAGCGUUGUUCGGAAUUACUGGGCGUAAAGCGCGUGUAGGUGGCUGCGUAAGUCAGAUGUGAAAGCCCUCGGCUUAACCGAGGAAGUGCAUCUGAUACUGCGUAGCUCGAGUACUGGAGGGGAUGGCGGAAUUCCCGGUGUAGAGGUGAAAUUCGUAGAUAUUGGGAAGAACACCAGUGGCGAAGGCGACUUCCUGGCCUGUUCUUGACGCUGAGGCGCGAAAGCUAGGGGAGCAAACGGG